CCUACGGGAGGCAGCAGUGAGGAAUAUUGGUCAAUGGGCGCGAGCCUGAACCAGCCAAGUAGCGUGAAGGAUGACUGCCCUACGGGUUGUAAACUUCUUUUAUAAAGGAAUAAAGUGAGGCACGUGUGCCUUUUUGUAUGUACUUUAUGAAUAAGGAUCGGCUAACUCCGUGCCAGCAGCCGCGGUAAUACGGAGGAUGCGAGCGUUAUCCGGAUUUAUUGGGUUUAAAGGGAGCGGAGAUGGGUUGUUAAGUCAGUUGUGAAAGUUUGCGGAUCAACCGUAAAAUUGCAAGUGAUACUGGCAGUCUUGAGUACAGUUGAGGUAGGCGGAAUUCGUGGUGUAGCGGUGAAAUGCUUAGAUAUCACGAGGAACCCCGAUUGCGAAGGCAGCUUACUAAACUAUGACUGACAUUGAGGCUCGAAAGUGUGGGUAUCGAACAGGAUUAGAUACCCGAGUAGUC
rnacentral:rRNA from 1 species